GAAAUGCGAUAAGUAGCGUGAAUUGCAGACGCUUUGAACGCCAAAAUUUCGAACGCACAUUGCGCCAUAGGAGUUCUACCCUAUGGCACAUCUGGUUGAGGGUCGUGAUCAAAUACAGCUAGGAUUGGGCUGUCAUAGAGGUAACUGAUGGAUCAUCAUGAAACAAAGGCGAAACGACUGCCCACUUCUUCGGAGGAGGGUAGGUGAAUUCCCUUGCCCCACGGAUGGGCAUAACGGCUGAGGACUAGUUCCGGCCCGUAGUGUACCAUACAUACGCCUAGUGCGUAAGUGCAUUAUGGGUGUCUGUGAAUCGGCUGAUAUGACCUAUACGUGCCGGGUUUUGUCGGUAGACGAUCGACUUCCCGACCUCAACUCAGGUGUGAUUACCCGCUGAACUUAA
rnacentral:misc_RNA from 1 species